CCUAUUCUAUUUUUGAAUAAUAUUUAGUGCCCCUCCUUUAUCAAAGUGGUAUCAGAGCCAAAUCGAGAUGGCGAAUGGCAUGCAACUUCAAAUACCAUGCCUCAUGAAAGAGAACUACAAAAACUAGAGCAUUCAAAUGAAGGCCUUACUUAGGUCACACGACACCUAAGAGGUGGUCAAAAGAGGCUAUGUCGAGUCUCAAGAUGAUUC
rnacentral:lncRNA from 1 species